UUGGGGAUAUUGCACAAUGGGCGAAAGCCUGAUGCAGCGACGCCGCGUGGGGGAUGAAGGCUUUCGGGUUGUAAACCUCUUUCGCUAUCGAACAAGGCCCGCUUAGGGUGGGUUGAGGGUAGGUGGAGAAGAAGCGCCGGCUAACUACGUGCCAGCAGCCGCGGUAAUACGUAGGGCGCGAGCGUUGUCCGGAAUUAUUGGGCGUAAAGGGCUUGUAGGCGGCUUGUUGCGCCUGCUGUGAAAACGCGGGGCUUAACUUCGCGCGUGCAGUGGGUACGGGCAGGCUUGAGUGUGGUAGGGGUGACUGGAAUUCCAGGUGUAGCGGUGGAAUGCGCAGAUAUCUGGAGGAACACCGAUGGCGAAGGCAGGUCACUGGGCCAUUACUGACGCUGAGGAGCGAAAGCAUGGGUAGCGAACAGG
rnacentral:rRNA from 1 species